rnacentral:tRNA from 1 species
GGCACUUUGGCCGAGUGGUUAAGGCGCCGUGUUCAGGUCCUGGCUUUGCCGAGUCCUAAUUCGCGGUCCAGCAAUGGGCGUGGGUUCGAAUCCCACAGGUGUCA